rnacentral:rRNA from 1 species
GCGGUAGCACAGAGAGCUUGCUCUCGGGUGACGAGCGGCGGACGGGUGAGUAAUGUCUGGGAAACUGCCUGAUGGAGGGGGAUAACUACUGGAAACGGUAGCUAAUACCGCAUAACGUCGCAAGACCAAAGUGGGGGACCUUCGGGCCUCAUGCCAUCAGAUGUGCCCAGAUGGGAUUAGCUAGUAGGUGGGGUAAUGGCUCACCUAGGCGACGAUCCCUAGCUGGUCUGAGAGGAUGACCAGCCACACUGGAACUGAGACACGGUCCAGACUCCUACGGGAGGCAGCAGUGGGGAAUAUUGCACAAUGGGCGCAAGCCUGAUGCAGCCAUGCCGCGUGUAUGAAGAAGGCCUUCGGGUUGUAAAGUACUUUCAGCGAGGAGGAAGGCGAUAAGGUUAAUAACCUUGUCGAUUGACGUUACUCGCAGAAGAAGCACCGGCUAACUCCGUGCCAGCAGCCGCGGUAAUAC